rnacentral:lncRNA from 1 species
UUAACUUCUUCACAUAAAAGCCCUCACCUGAACCCUUUCUUUGUGCGCCGAAAAUCGCCUCCGACGGAGGCGGAGGUCAAACCAGACCCAAACAUAUAUCAAACUAACCACCGUCUCUCCCUCUUUCAUAACCCCAAACUACCUUUCCCGAAUUCCUGACUUAGAGUUCAAAUCGAGUGAAAAAACAUAUGAACCCUAAAGAAAAAAAAUAAAAAAUAAAACCUUGUAGAAAUGGAAUCAAAGCCUAAAGCAUUAGGAAUUUAAUUACUUGAGCCAAAUUCUACAUGAUGGCAACUGUAAUGGCAUGAAAUGGAUGAAGAAGAAGUGUAUCUUACCUACGAGGCGAAGAUGAAGAUGAAACAGGAAAUCUUCAGGUAAUCUUCAAUAUCAUAACUCCUUCACGCUUAAAAUAUUUCUUCUUCUUCUUCAAUUCUUCUUUAGCUUGUAGGUGUGAUUUCGAUGUCGCUCAGUGUUGUUGUUGAAGUUUGAGUGUGAGAGAGAGAUUUACAGAGACAAUGUGAUUCGAUUGAGAGUGAGAGAAGGAGUUUUUUUAUGUGAGAAUGAGGGAAUGAUUUUGAUUUUGUGAUUGUGUAAUGAUUCCAGAUCCUCCUCAAUGAUUGAAGAGGGUGAUGAUUUAUAGAGUUUGGUGUGUAACAACUUAGGGCACACCUUGGGCAAUUAUGUUAGUGAAGUUAGGGUAGGGUUAACUCCUAGUGAAUUUGAGAGGAAAAAUAGUUAGAGGUUAUGACACUGUCACACUUUUGUUAAGACUGUUAAGAUUAAUUGAGUUAGUGGAAUGUAGAGUUAGUACCUUGUUAAAACUGUUAGGUGAAAUGAAGUUAGUUGCUUAACAAAAGUUAGAAACCUGCUAGUUAGUUAUGAGGUUAGUGAGUUGGAUUUGGAGUUAAAUGUUGUGGUUGUUAGAAAUAAAAAGGGAAAAUGUUAGUGUAGUGUGAAAUUAGAGAAUUAUAUUAGUGAAAGUUAUGUUGCUAUGAUUUAUUCGAUGCUAACCUGAUAAAAUCGGUUAGACUAGCUGAAGUUAGUGUUAAGGAAAUGAGAUUAAACUAGUUAAAAUUGAAUUUACAAGCUGAAUUGUUAGCUAUAUUUAGUUGACAGUUAGAUUUCGAAUGAAUUGGAAUAAAAUAGUUAGUGACGGAAGCUAGUUACCUACAAUGAGUGUUGAAUUGUUAUAUUGACACUGGAUGAUUUGAAUGAAUGUGGAUUAUGGUUAGGAUUUGUUAGUUGAGUUUGAAUAAGUUAGGAUUAUUAUGAUGUUUGGAACUUAUUUGUAUAGAAAGAGUAAGUUGGAAAUGGAUUGAAAGGUGAUGUUAUGGUUUCUCGUUAAUGUCCUGUUUGUUUGCUAAAGUUGAAAAUGUGAGUUAAAGUGAGUUGGAAUAGUUAGUAUUAUUAGAGGUUAAUAGAAAGAACUUAGGUUAUUGGUGUUUGUCAUGCUUGAAACAAGUUGGUGCUAUAGUUCAAGUAGUGUGUUCAUCACUAGGCUGUUAGUUUAUGUUAUAGUUAUAGGUUAGUAAUUAAGGUGAUAGUUAGAAGAUUUUGAAUUUCAAUUAGGACGAAAUUGCUAAAACAAGUUAUGAGGUUCAGUAUUAACUAAUGUGUGAUGUUAAGACUUGGAGCUAAAAUUGGAUGAAGUUGGUAUAAACUUGGUUAAAAAUGUUAGUAGAACUAGUUAAGGUUAGUUUCAAAGCAAUGAUGGAACUGUUACUAGGAGGUCGAUUAAUUAUGACUUUUUGUUAUUGGUGUUAUGACCUUGUGAAUGUUGACUUCUAACUAGUUUAUAUGGUUGAAUAUCAAUUAGGUUGGUGUUACUUGUUGUUACUAAAUGAUUGAAUUAUGACAAAAAAACUGUUAGGAUUACAUUAAGGUGGUUAGUGAGUUUUGAGAAAAAUCCACAAGUUUAAAAUUGAACCAAAAUUGAUUUUGAAAAAGUUUAUAGCGCGAAAGCAAGUUUCAAAAUUUUCUUGGAUAAAAAAUCGUCUAACCGAACCUACUAUCGAAAAUCUCGGAUAUGUGUAAAGGUGUCAAUGCAAUGAUAAUAAUCCACAAGUCAAUCAACAACAAUUAAACAUAACUAGUUGAAUACAAUAUAAUAGGAAAAGUUUAUCUCCAAUGAACAAAACACACAACAAAUUAAGUCAAGCAAUUUUUCGAACACUUAGUGUGCGAUCAACAAUGUUUGGAAUUUUAUGUAAAGUUUGUUAUUCUUAGAAAUCCAAUCACAACCAAAUGGUUUAUGAUCUACACAAUAACACAAAUUUCAAAACGCGUUCAAGAUUAUGAUCCAAACAAUAUUGAUCAAAUGAUCAAUGCAAUUGAGAAUUUCCAAACCACAAAAUAAAAGAGAUAUGUAUAGAAAGAGAGUACACAAGGAUUUGUUUAGGCAGUUUCCCAAUCAACAUCGCUAUGGGUACGUCUUCCCUUAAUUCGAAUUCGAAUUGAGAUAUUAUAAUAAAUCUUACUUUGCAAAAUAUGUGUAUACAAGAGAUGAAGAAAUCGAACUCUACAAAUCCUAAGUUUGAUGUUGACUCUACCACCUCCAAAACCCUUGAUAAAAGAUUGAUCAAGUAACCAACAAUGCCGCUUCAAUUCACCUUUUCUUGUUACUUCCUUGCAAGGCACUCCUUGUCCUAAGGCUUUCACCCGUUUGAAUUAAUCCCAAGCGCACAUUUGUUGAAACCCAAGAUUUUCCAACACGAUCUACCGUCUCAUGCCACUCCCUUGCAAGGUACCCAUUGUCCCAAGGAUUUCACUUGAUCGGAUCCGAAUUGCAUAAUCUUGUCAAAAACCUUCAAACCAUAAGAGAUCUUGAUGGAAAACCCUAACUCGGUUUUCUGAUACGAAUCCCUCAAAGUUCUCAACCCAAUAUUCUAGGUACAAUAAACCUAAUUGGACGUUAUCAACGCUAAUCUACAUGACACCCAAUCAAAAAAUGAUUAUGUGUAGUGUGAUUGUGUGUAUGCAUAGAUGGAGUUGAAGAUGAUGACAAUGCUUUGAAAUCUUGGAUUCAUGUUGGUUUUACUCACUCUAGAAACCUUACUAGAGAAAGAUGCAUGUAUGUAGUAUUUAUAUGCAUGAGUGAUUGAAGGAAAAAAGGAAUGCAAAGAACUUGGAGAAAAUAUAAAUUUUUGAAAAACAUUCAUCGCAUAGGUCGACCUAUGAAAGUUAUGUGUCGACCUAUUCGAUGCAUAAGUCGACGUGUUUAAGGUCAUGUGUCGACCUAUGACUAUCAUAAGUACCAUAGGUCGACACAUGAAAUAUAGGCUAUAUGCUUUAAUACUGCAACACAGGUAUCGACCUAUGGAAUGCAUGUGUCGACCUAUAGUCAAGAAAAUUUAUCUAUAGGUCGACCUAUAGUUGUAUGUGUCAACCUGUAGGUCGACCCGUAGACGUAUGUGUCGACCUGUGCUGACAUUUUUCAUAAAAAUUAAAAUUUUAUGCAUGAGAUCUUUUCCAAGUUGUUUCCAACUUCUUAUAUGCUUCCCAAUGCUAUGGUGCACAAAAAUAAUAAGAGGAUACCUUCCAAUAUAAAUUAACGCUAAAGUAUCCUAGUUUUGACAUCAUAUAAAACACAUCUAACAGAAGUUGCACUCACACUAUAGGGAUUUAGGGUUAGGAUUAGUAGUUGAGUUUGGUCAACUGGUUGACCAAAAAGUCAAUAGUUGACCAAAGUCAACUGUAGGUCGAACUUAGGUAUUUUUUGUGUAAUUUUAUAUAGACUUGAAAUGGAUGUUUGAAAUGUAAACUUGAUGAUUUAUAAUGAAAACAUUGAUCUUACAUGGUAUAUGUAACUUGUUACUUGAGAAAGCAACCUUUUCCUCCCAUUUUGAAUCUUGAAUGAAUUUGAACUAUUGAAUAAAGAUGAACUUGAAUGAAGCUUGAUCUUGUAUGAAUGCCAUGUCAUGAACCAAACAAUAAACAUUAGUAAGGAAGACAAGACAUGUGGAAGACAAGACAUGCGCAAAUGCCACGGUAUGCAAAGUUCAUGAAGGAUAUUCUCACAAAGAAAAGGAGACAUGUGGAAGACAAGACAAUCUUGCUUGAUGCAUGUUGUAGUGCCAUAAUCCAAAAAACUCUCCCAAGGAAGGAAUCCGAUCCGGGCCGAGUCGUUUUACUGGUAACCAUUGGAGGCACCUACAUUGGUAAUGGUUUGAUUGACUUGGGAUCUAGCAUCAAUUUAAUCCCCCUAUCCAUUAUUAAAAGAUUGGGAAAUAUCGAGAUUAAAUCUACAAGGAUGACUUUACAACUAGCCGAUAAGUCUACCACUUCACCAUAUGGAGUUGCUCAAGAUAUGCUAGUGAAGGUGGACAAAUUCUUGUUUCCGGUAGAUUUCGUGAUAGUGGAGAUGGAUGAGGAUCGUGAUGUUCUCUAAAUUCUUGGAAGACCAUUCAUGAAAACAGCCCGGAUGAUGAUUGACAUUGAUGAUGGACUGAUGAAAGUGAGAGUGCAAGAUGAAGAGGUGACCUUCAAUCUUUUUGAAGCCAUGAAGCAUCCUAAUGACAAUCAUGAUUCUUUCCGAAUCGAUGCAACCGAAGAGGAAAUAGUGGAGGUCGCAAACCAAGUUCAUGUUUCUAAUCCAUUAGAAAGAUCUCUUAUCGGAGCCUACAAUGUUUUGACCGAAAAUAAAGAAAAAGAGAUUGAAGCAAUGUUGCAUGAAUUAGAGUCUUGUGGAGAGCUUGUUUAUCAUGAAGAAACAAAUGAAGACUUGGAUGUGACAAAGAAAAUGGAAGAACCAAAACUAGAGUUGAAAAUGCUACCUUCACUCUUGAAGUAUGUGUUCCUUGGUGAUGAUUGUACUAAACCGGUGAUCAUUAGCAACACCUUGUCCACAAAAGAGGAACACAAAUUGAUACAAGUGCUGAAAAAGAAUGAGGGUGCAAUAGGGUGGGUCCGACUUGAAGGUAUUAGUCCGGCCUAUUGUAUGCAUAAGAUCAUGAUGGAAGAAAAUUUCAAACCCGUUGCACAACCUUAAAGGCGUCUAAAUCCAUCAAUGAAAGAAGUAGUUCGGAAAGAAGUUGUCAAACUCUUGGAAGCCGAAAUGAUUUAUCCUAUCUCCGUGAAUGGGUGAGUCCGGUGCAAGUAGUUCCAAAAAAAGGUGGCAUGACGGUUAUCAAAAAUGAUAAAAAUGAGUUGAUUCCAACAAGAACGGUAACCGGGUGGAGGAUGUGUAUUGACUAUAGAAGACUAAACCAAGCUACAAGAAAAGAUCACUUCCCACUACCUUUCAUGGACCAAAUGUUGGAAAGGUUGGCCGGCAAAAAUUUCUAUUGUUUCUUGGAUGGUUAUUCGGGGUACAACCAAAUUUCAGUCAAUCCGGCGGAUCAUGAGAAGACGGCUUUUACAUGUCCUUUCGGCAUCUUUGCUUACCGAAGAAUGCCUUUUGGGUUAUGUAAUGCACCAGCAACAUUUCAACGCUGUAUGCAAGUGAUAUUCUCGGAUUUAAUCGAAGAAUGCAUUAGGUGUUCAUGGAUGAUUUCUCCGUUUAUGGAUCGUCUUUUGAUUUGUGCUUGAAACAUCUUGAUGUGGUUUUGGGAAGAUGUGUGAAGACCAACUUAGUGCUUAAUUGGGAGAAAUGCAACUUUAUGGUCACCGAAGGUGUUGUACUCGGUCACAAGAUCUCCUCCGAAGGGCUAGAAGUUGACAAAGCAAAGGUGGAAGUCAUUGAUUUAUGUCUGAAUCCUUCAAAGUGCACUUCUUGUGUCAGAUCCAACAAGUUGUUGGGGUUCAUAGUCAUUCAAAUAGGAAUUGAAUUCGAUCUGGAUAAAGUGAAUUCCAUACAAGACAUGCCAACUCCAAGAACUAAAAAAGAGGUUUGUGGGUUCUUGGGAAGAUUGAACUACAUCGCUAGAUUCAUCUCGCAUCUUACAUCCACCUACGAACCAGUUUUCAAAUUAUUGAGGAAAAAACAAACCAUUGAUAGGAAUGAGGAUUGUCAAGGGUUAUUUGAUAAAAUUAAAGAGUACUUACAAGAGCAACAAAUCUUGAUAUCCCAUGUUCGAGAGAGACCUCUUAUUAUGUACUUAGAAAUUCUUAAUGGAUCGAUGGGCUGUGAAUUGGUGCAACAAGAUGAAACCGACAGAAAGGAGCAUGUAAUCUACUAUUUAAGCAAGAAGUUCACAUAUUUGUGAAUACAAAUACUCAUUACUUGAGAAGACUUAUUGCACACUAGCAUGGGCUGCUUGGCACUUAAGGCAAUACAUGUUGACCCACACAAUAUAUUUAAUAUCAAAUAUGUUACUUAGAAGAUAAUAAAAGGAAGUGUGUUGUCAAAAUAUCUUGCAAACCAACUAAUGGAAUAUUAUUAUCCCAUGAGGUUUGAGUUUCCUGAUGAAUGUAUUAUGGUUCUGAAUGAAGAAAAUGUCAUAGGUAAUGAUGUAGGGCCCAAACCAGGAGCUAGAUGGAAGCUCGCGUUUGAUGGUGGCUCGAAUGCCAUGGGGCAUGGAAUUGGAUAUGUCUUAAUCUCUCUAAGGAAUGACUAUACUCCCUUCACAAAAAGGUUAUCUUUUGACUGUACAAAUAGUAAGGCAUAAUACGAAGCAUGUAUCAUGGGCAUUGAACCUGCUAUAGACCUAAGGAUCAAAAUCCUAGAGGUGCAUGUAGACUAUGUGUUAGUCAUAUAUCAAGUAAAAGGAGAAUGGGAAACUCGUCAUCCUAAACUGAUAUCAUACCAAGCUCGAGUCUUUUAACUGAUGGAGAAUUUUAAGGAAAUCACUUUCCAUCACAUUCCAAGAGAAGAAAAUCAGAUGGCAGACGCUUUGGCUACAUUAUCAUCAAUGUACAAAGUAAACUUCCACAAUGAAGGCCCAAUUAUAAGAAUGGGUCAUAGAGAUGAACCGACAUGUUGCUCAACACUUGAAGAAGAGUUUGAUGACAAGCCAUGGUUUCAUGAAAACAAGUGUUACCUUCAGAAACAAGAGUACCUUACAAAUUCUUUGAGUGGGGACAAGAAAACUCUCAGAAGGUUAAUAGCUAAUUUCUUCCUAAAUGAUGAUGUGCUCUACAAAAGAAACCAUGACAUGGUCCUACUCAGAUGCAUGGAUAGACACGAAGCACACAUGUUCGUCAAGUAAAUUCAUGGCAGACUUCUGAUGAUUUUCUUUACAUGAUUUGUCGUGGUAUAACCUUUGUUCAGAACUUUAAUCCAACUCCAUAUUUCUAGAUUAAAGUUAGGGCUUUAGUCUCUUUAACUUGCUCAUUUCCUUCAUGAGUCAUUUUCAAAGAAUCAAAUAUAGACUUAGUAAAGUCUCUAAUUAUUAUGUUUUCAUACUUAGAUUAGGAAAUAGAAUUCAACAAUAUAGUUUUGGAUCUAUGAUGAUUAUUGUAAUCCUUCUUUUGUUUACAAUCUAUUUUGCUUCUUUUAAGCUUACUGCCAUCAGCAUCUAUAGGAUGUGUCUAACCUUCUAUCACCAUAUCCCAUAGUUCAACAUCACAACCUAUGAAGAAACUUUCGAUUCUAUCUUUCCAAUAGUUGAACUUUUCUCCAUCAAAGAAUGAAGGUUUUGUAGAAUAAUGAUAUUUAUCAUUAUUUGCUUAUGCCAUAAUGUAUUUAAAAAAGAAUGGAUCUAUGUCUGAAAUGAUUAAGUGUUUAACACAAAGUAUGGGGUUUGAAUUAGGUUUCUCUAUUUAAAAACUUUUUCCACCCAAUAUAUUAAAACAACAAAGAUAAUAAUAAAGGUAAGAACAUAAGUAUUUUACCAUGGUUCACUGUUAAUGAAGCUCCGUCUAGCCCACUCUCCUGAGUGAUUUCUUCUUCUCAACAAGGACUUAAUCCAAUAAUCAAACUGAUUACAACAAACUCAAAGACGCACAGUCUAAGACUUCUUGAGAAAUUCUGACUAUACCAUAGUCUUUUAAGGAAAACAACUCAAAGACUAACUGUCAAUGACUUCUUGAGAAUUCUGAUCUAACUUAGUCUCUCAAGGAAAUUAACUAAAGGUUAAGAUAAUGGGUUUUAUGUCACAUGUUUCUUCAACACAACAGAUACACAAGUUUAAAUCAAAUGUUACACUUAACACAAGUUUAAAUCAAAUGUAACACUUAUUUUUAUAUUUUCUCUUUCACGUAUUCUAUUUGAGUGUAAGCAUUGAUAUUUGUUAAAUGCUUCUUUUUUCCAAUCUUCAAAGACCUCUUUAUAUAGUAGCAAAUAAUUCCGUUGGAGGGUGAAGUUGGAUUAUCCUCAAAAUAGACGUUAUAUAAAGGUCACUUCAUAUGCAACAUUAAAGUGGAGCUUGCAGUAAAUUGUUGGUGAGGAUGAUGGGACAUGAGAAGAUUCUUUGGUACAAAGUACAAUACUUUACAUAAAAAAUAGAUUUAGUUUUUGUACUUCUGUCACAUCAAUCAGUCGUUGACCUUUUAUCACACCCCAAUUUUGACUAUGAAUCAUUGAAUCAAUGCAUUCAUCAUAAUAUUUACAUCACCUUCAUAGCAUAUCAUGCAUUUCAUCUUGCAUAAUGCCUAAAAUAUCGAUUAGAAUAAAUUUUCGGGUCUACAAACAUAACAGUUGAAUCAAUUUUCAAAUUUACGUAAAGUUAGCGGGUGGAAAAUUUUGAAAUCGAGCUUGUAGCCGUCAGUGUUAGUAAGUUAUGAUUCACAUAGUUUAACCUGUCAUGAUCGUUUUAUUUUUUCAACUCCUUUUGCGAUCGCAUUUUGAUCAGUUUGAGCCUUUUCAACUGGACAUUUUUUACUUUAAAAUUUGACAAAAAAUUAUCUGUUAUCUAAAAGUUUAUUUCGCGCUGAUCAUUUUGUAAGAACAAGAUUUGGUUUUGCAUCUGGCCUUUCGUUUUGAUGAUAACAAUGCAUUAUUUCUAAGAGAACAACUUUAUACCCUAAUGGUUUUUGCCUAGUGUGUAACUUUUUCUAAUAGGUUCUGACUAUGGAGAAUUGACAUGUGAUGUCAUCUGAUUCUGGAUUCAACAUAUUUUGACUCUGAAGAGAUUCAAAGUACUUUACAAGAUGCUGUUAAGUUGUAGAAUGCUGUUAGACAACGGUUAUGAUGAACGUUUGUGUUAAAGCUUCUGAUCGUGACUCUGAUUGAAGAGCCUAUGAAGAUUUAUCAAGCCUUAAAUAUUAUGCGUUCUCAAGUUCUAAAGACUCUGAAGAACAAGAUCUGAAGACUCUGAAGACCAGGUUCUGAGGAACUAUGUCAAGUGUCUGAAGACCAAUGUUCUGAAGAUUCUCUCAACUAGUAUCUUGAUCCUUCUAAGAAUGAUUUAACAUCAUUUAUUCAGAAGCCUCUGAAGAUGAGAAGAUAAGAUAAAAAGGUUUUGCGUCAGGAAAAUAGUAUAUAAUACAAAAUCACCCUUCCCUCCACUACGCUGAUUUUAUGGGCUAAGCACAUUACUAUUGUACCAUUUUGUCUCCUAUAUGCAAACCGUUAUACCAAGAGACAACUGUAGUUUUGUUAUUCCAAUUCUACUCUCUAACAGAUCUUUUAACGUCCUAUAUAAAAAAUACUUGGAAGAUUAGAUAAGUUGUGAAUUCUCAUUGCCAUUUCACGCUCAUACACAAAGCUUUUGUUAAAGUACAUAUUUUAUGUGUAUAGUCUUUGUAAACACACAUAGAGGUUUUGUUCGUUAUUGUGUGAGAAAUUCAUUGUACUUAAAAUAUGUUAAUCUUAUUUCUUAUAAGAAAUUUUGUAAACAUAGUCUUGUAAAUCUCAAAUUGUUUGAGUGUAUUCCUCGAGUUACUAGGUUUUAGUCAUAUAGACUCAAGAAGACAGAAGACAAAAGAGUUUGUCUUUAUGGUGUCUGUAAUUAGUUUUGGUUACAGUGGAUUAAGUCCUUAUUGAGAAGGAAAAAUCACCUUGGUAGGUGGAGUGAAGGUAACUCUUGAUCCUUCUAAGCAUGAUUCAACAUCAUUUAUUCAGAAGCCUAUUUAGAUUAGAAGAUAACAUCAAAAGGUUUUGCAUUAGGAAAAUAGUACACAGUACAAGAUCACCCUUCUUGUUAGGUCUGACAUAUGGUGAUUGGCUUAAUUUUGGAAAAACAAGUAUUUUUGACAUAUGUUAAACAAGAUGUCCUGACAUGUUGUUUCAACAUUACAGCGUGACUGAGCUUAAGCAUCUUGUGAGAUUUAGUCUCUUUAAUAUUUUAUCUGAAGAUUAUUUGAAUAUUUAAUUCAUGUAUAUUAUUGAGCGUUUUCCUGGUACCUGAAUAAUAUUGUGUCUUGACUUAUAUACGAAGUAACGAUGUCAAGACAUUUUAGGAAACAUAUGAUUUGAUUGAGAUCAUAUUUUCAAAAGAUUGUGCAGAGAUCUUGGAUCUACUACAAAUCAAGGCUGAAGCCCAUGCCUCUUCACUGCUAUUUAUAGAGUAGUUCUAAACGUAAGAAUGCAUUGAUGCAGUGCAGUAUAUUGUUAUCAUUAAUGUUUUAUGUGUAUGCUUUGUAUGAGACAUUUGAGUAUCUCCUCGAUACUUGAAUUGGACCUGGUGUAUUGAGUUAUAACUAACAAUCCCUCAGAAGAUUUUAAGCAAGAGUGGAUUGUGUUUGUCAGUUAUUUGUUGUCGUAUGGUUAAGGAAAGUGAGACAUGUCUCAUAUCUAGGAGUGUCUUAGAUAGAAACAUACACGGGUAGAGAUUAGGUGAGAAGUCUUUAAAACCUGAGGUUGUUCAAGACUUCAAACUAAUUCUAUGAUAGUGGAGUUCCUUCCUGGCUUGGUAGCCCCCAGAUGUAGGUGAUGUUACACCGAACUGAGUUAACAAUUGAUUGUGUUAUUUACUGUUAUUUUAAUCCUGGUAUUGUUUGUGGUGCGAUAAUGUGCAGACCCUAAGGUCGUGACAUCGUGUACGACAUCAGGGAUCUACUUUCCAGAAUUUCAAUUGGUAUCAGAGCAUGCAUCAUGCUCUAUUUAUGGGUGAGAUUCAGGGAAGAUACUUUCUGGCUCCAUGGAUAAGGAAGGAGGAUUUAUCAACAGACCCCCCUUCUUAGAUGGAUCUAACUAUGACUAUUGGAAGGCAGGGAUGGUUGAUUUCUUAAAAUCCAUGAAAAAAAAGACAUGGAAAGUUGUCAUUAGAGGAUGGGAACAUCUUGUUCUGAAUGACAAAGAUGGGAAGGCUCGUACUGAAUUGAAACCUGAAGAGGACUGGCCUAACGAAAACAAUGAAUUGGCUCUUGGAAAUUCCAAAGCGUUGAAUCCCCUAUUCAAUGGGGUGGACAAAAAUAUAUUCAGGCUGAUAAAUACCUGUAUUAUAGCUAAAGAAGCUUGGGAAAUCCUCAUAACUACUCAUGAAGGCACAUCCAAAGUGAAGAUGUCUAGACUUCAGCUUCUCACCACGGGAUUUGAGAAUCUAAAGAUGACAGAUGAUGAGAACAUUCAUGAUUUUUACAUGAGUAUUCUUGAAAUAGCUAAUUCAUCUAGUGCCUUGGGAGGAAAGAUGUCAGAAGAAAAAUUGGUGAGAAAAAUUCUAAGGCCUCUACCAUUUUUUUGACAUGAAGGUCAUAACCAUUGAAGAAGCUCAAGACAUCAACACCAUGAGAGUAUAUGAACUUAUUGGGUGUCUCUAAACCUUUGAAUUGGAUAUUAAUGACAUAUCUAAAAAGAAAACCAAGAGCAUAUCAUUUGUAUCCAACACUGAAGAUGAACUAAACCAAUGUGACUUAGAUACUGAUGAAGGAAUGACCAAUUCUAUAUUAAUGACUUAGAUAAUUCAAUAAGGUUCUAAGGAGAAUUGGCAGGAAGUCAAGACCAAAUGUCAAGAACAUCCCUUUUUAAAUCAGGAAUACUAAUGAUUUCUAGAAAAGAACAAGAACCGAAGAGAGAUCCAAUCAAGGUAAGUGGGUGUGAAGGAUUUGGACACAUUAGAGUUGAAUGCCCUACCUAUCUCAAGAAACAAAAAAAGGGGUUAUCGGUCUCUUGGUCUGAUGAGGAUAACUCUGAAAGUAAACCUGAGGAUGAAGCUGAUAAACAUGUUACUGCUCUAACUGGAAGAUAUGAAUAUGAUGAAGAUUCAUGUGAUGAAGAAUUAUCCUAUGAGGAACUGGCUGCAUCCUACAGAGAACUUUGCAUCAGAAGUGAAGAAGUGUGUCGGCUGGGAUAAAAACAGAAGAAAAUUAUAUCUCAACUACAGGCUGAAAAGGAAGGAUUUCAAUUCACCAUCUCAGAUCUCCAAAAUGAGGUGACAUUAUUGACUUCCAAACUUGAAAACAUGAUAAAUAAUAUAAGAGUUCUGAACAAGGGAUCUAAUGUGUUAUAUGAAGUUUUGAAAAUUGGAAAAGCGGAUGGAGAUCUGAGGGGGAUCGGCUUUAAACAUAAAUCUAUGGAUAAACAAGGAGAAAGCUCUAUGACCAACUUUGUUCUUACAAAGAGGGAGUCUAAUCUUGUAAUAUCUAAACAUCUGGCUCAACAUCAUGCCAGUCAUCAAAACUCUUAAACUAAAGGCAAGUUAUUAUGUUGGAGAUGUCAUUAAUAUGGAAAACAUGGUCAUAUAAAUCCCUUCUGCUUCAAAUUGUAUGGCUAUCCUAGGUAUCCAACACAACUCAGGGCUAAUAAAAAGAAAGAGUGGACACCUAAGCCUUUCAACACUAGUCUCAUAGCUCACACCUCUCUUAGAGCCUUAGCUCGAGAAGACUGGUAUUUUGAUAGUGGAUGUUGCAGACACGUGACAUGUGGCAAGAAGUUCCUUUAAAAGAUAAAGUCAUACUCAUCUGGCUAUGUCACGUUUGGAGAUGGGGCUAAAGGUGAAAUUAAAGGGGUUGGAAGACUAGCUUGUACAUGACUCCCAAGUCUUAAUAAUGUCCUAUUGGUAAAAGAUCUGACUGUUAAUUUGAUUAGUAUCAGUCAACUAUGUGAUGAGGGUCUUAAAGUUAACUUCACAAAAUCAGAGUGUUAGUCACUAAUGAGAAAAAUGAAGUUCUAAUGAGGAGAGUCAGGUCUAAGGAUAACUAUUACUUGUGGUUAUCUAAAGAAACUAACUACACUUCCACAUACCUGAUAUCCAAAGAAGACAAAGUUAACCUAUGGCACCAGAAACUUGGACAUCUACAUUUGAAAGGCAUGAAAAAGAUUAUGUUAAAAGAAGCCAUCAUAGGUAUUCUAAGGCUCAAGAUUGAAGAAGGUAAAAUAUGUGAUGAGUGUCUAAUUGGGAAGCAACUAAGAUGUCACAUCCAAAGUUAUAACAUCAAACUACUUCAAAAGUUCUGGAACUUCUUCAUAUGGACUUAAUGGGGCCUAUGCAGGUUGAGAGCCUUGGAGGGAAAAGAUACACAUAUGUUGUUGUUGAUGAUUUUUCAAGAUUCACUUGGGUGAACUUCAUCAAAGAAAAAUCAGAUGUCUUUGAGGUGUUCAAAGAUCUAUGCAAAAGGAUUCAAAGAGAGAAGGAAAGUAGAAUUUCCAGGAUUCGAAGUGACCAUGGGAAGGAAUUUGAAAAUAAUAGAUUUGUUGAAUUUUGCUCCUCUGAAGGUAUUGGUCAUGAUUUCUCCUCUCCUAUCACCCCUUAGCAAAACGAUGUUGUUGAAUGCAAGAACUGAACUCUACAAGUGUCAAUAUGCAAAAAAUACAGAGUUGGUUUUUAUUUAUUCCAAAGGAAAGGGAAAUUAUCUAGAAAACCCCAAAGAAUGGUCAUCACAACCACGAACAAGUUUGGAAGCUGGUUAUGCAAGGGGAAGAUAUUAGCAGCCCUCACAUCCAUGGUACUCCAUGGGAACCAUCUAGGAUAUCUACAUUUGAAAGGGUGUCAGUAUCUUAAUGCUUACUUGCUAAAGGUUUACGGAGUGGAAAUGGACUUUUUAUUAGUGUGCUAGCCAAGGAUUUGGGUCCUCGUGCCUACGUAUGCUCACUUGUCAAAGUGAGAAAUUAGAGCCCCAUAGUUCGUGGUACAAAAUGUUUGUUUGUUUUGUUGAUUUUAUACCUUUAAAAAGGUUUUCGAAGUGAUGCCCUAAGGCUUAAACAAAAGGUUUGAUAAGUUGACAUUGAUUUUAUGUUUUGAAAAGAGAGUGUUCUUGACUUCGGAUUGCACUAAAGACUAUGGGUAAAGGUGAAUAUCUCGAACUACCAAGUCAAAUGUCUUGUGUUCAAAAUACUCAGAACAAGUGUAGGAAAGCUCCAUUCUCAUCCUUUCUCUACCACUUAAGGCUCAUGGCAUACAAUCAUAAUCGUAUUUUUAUGGUGUUUUGAAUUUGAUUUGAGAAAAUACCGCUUAACGUUGGAUCAAGGGUUUGUUAUUGAGUAUGAAAUAGUGAAGAUCCUAUGUCCUAAGGUUGGCUAACAAGUAAAAACAAGACAAAGGAAAACGAGUAAAAAGUACACCAAAAUGGGGAGAGGGAUACAUGGAAAAUACAAGGGAUUUGUGCGAGAAAUAAAUGGUCUCGCUGUAAGGUAGCUCAAGAGAAAGUCUUGUGUGUGCAUUGUGUCCUAAGCUAACAAUUGGAUAAUUGAAUUACAAAGCAUGUCUCCCUAUGGUAGUGCCAUGAAUGAACCAUUCUUGCAAUAAAAGAUUACAAGUCCUCGGAAACUCCAAGUUGCAUAGGUCAAUCAAAAAAGUCCAAGUCCAAAUGCAAGGGUACUAACAAGUCCUCUAAGUCUCCAAGUUUAGUUUAUACACAAGGUACAUAUGGCCCAUAAUACUCCAUGUCUAAUGCUAAGGUCAAACAUUAAGUCCGUAGUCCAAUUGUCCUCAAAUUAGAUCUCUUUAGUAUUUUCCAUUUUAUCAUGUUUUUGUUCAUUUUAGAUUGUAUAUCAAAAUAAAGCAAUAAUGAUGAAGAAUGGUAAUGAUGAAUGAAAAUUAUGAUAUACAAAGUAAAGAAAUAAAUUGCACGAGUUAAAAUAUUAGAAGUUAGGUGCGUAAUGUAAAUGUUAGAAAUUAGAAGUUAGAUGUUUGAAGUCAAUUUAAAAAGGAACCGAUUACUUGAGAUUAUUUAUCCAUAAAUCAAAUGACUCAAAAUAUGACGUAUCAAGGGACAAUCUAUAAAUGAUUCAAAGUAUCGAAAAUGAUCCAAUGAUCAUUUGUCAAUAAGUUUGAAUCAAAGAAGAUUGAAUCAACCAAACUGUCUAUUUAUCAAUGAUUUGAAGUAUGAAAUAUGUAUCAAUAAAGCAAUCAAAACAAAGUGAAAAGAAGAGAAAGUUAAUGGUUAAAUGGUUAGAGAUGAAGAUUCAUCAAGCUUGCAAAUAUAAAUGAGUCUACAAAACAAACCACAAAACACUUGUUCAUAACAAAAAUGCAAAAAUAAAAUGAUAUUAACUCAUGUAAUAUGAAGCAAAUAUUAAGAACACAUGACAAAAUAAACAUGUGGGCCAGGGCCCAAUCAAUCUCACCAAAGGAGAUCCAAACACAAUUAUCACAUUCUAGACCAGAUCCCCCAACUUCAAACAUUCCUUAUAUUCCCUGAGUACGGAGAACAAGCCUCCGUUGCGUCGAAGCUCAUUGCCACCGGCGCCGGAGCUCCAAACAUGAACCCACAAGUAUCAAAAUGAUUGUUUCUACCCCGUGAAUCCAAAUCCCUUAUCCAAAUAGAACAAUCUUAAACCUACUGAUAAAAUCGCAUCCAAAUAAGAAAGAACCCUAAGUUGAAUUCCAGAAAUUAAAUGUUCAGUGAUGAAGAUCAAAGGCUACCAGGUUAGGGAUUUGAUCUCCCAAAACUAAUACUACACCAUGGUAACUAAAUCGGAGCAGAACCAAAAGGUUGAACCAAAUGCCCGUCAGAGACGACGACUGAGACGAUAACAACAAUAACCUCAAGUGCGCUUCUUCUUCACUUUAGUAUGCUUCUCUUCUUCCUUCCACUUCUUUGUUCCUUCACUUCUUCUCUUUAUUCUUGCUUGGACUUAGGAUAGAGAGAAUGAAUUUCAUGAGUGUGAGCAAAGUGUGCUAGAGUGUGUCAGAGAGCAAUCCUUCCUCUCCAAUGAUUGGCAACGAUUGCCUCAUUUAUAGGGCAAUCCAAGGGGGUAGUUUAGGGAAUUGAAUUUGAGUUGUUAAAUCCUGAUUUAUCCAACUGUCAAUUAAGUGAAUUUCUGGAAAUGGAAUGGAAUUAGGUCACGUGGCAUUUAGAUGAGCACAUGUUUUAUUCCCUUCAAUUCAUUUGCAGCUUCCCCCUUUUAUAUCUAAAUCCCCUCUUCCUAUCUGCCUUGACAUGGUUCAUCUGAUACCUUGCUAUAGCUUGCACAUGGGACUCAUGCUCUGCUCAUGGUUGAAUGAUGCAUCCAGUUCAUAUGGUGGGCCAGAUGCAAGGUUAUGCAUAAGUUUACAAGUAGGUAUGAAUUAUGUCUCAACUUGGGCUCACCAUUGUUUUGGUUUAGGUUGUGUCUUAUGGAGGGUUCUUAACUACUAAUCUGAAACUUGUUCUUCUUGUUGGGAACUCUGCAAAUAGUCAUGGGAUGGUUCUAGUGUAAGCAACAACCACAUGAUUCAAUUAGCAUGGUUCUAACUUAGGUUGACUUGCUUAUGCCUGAUGGUUUCUUGUGGAAUGAUAUUAUAAUAGGCAUGAGUAUGAACCUAUAACAACAUUUGGUUAGGUUAUUCUGACUUGUGCUUCAAUAGGUUUGGCAACAUGAUGCAUUGCCUCUUGAUGUAGCCUACUUGUCAAUAAACUUGUUUGUUGAUGCAAGAUAUUGUUUGGAUUGAGUUGCAUGAUUGGCUGCUAGUUCCUACAGGUAGCUUGGUAUGGGACUUGUUGAUUGUUUGUAGUGAUAGACUCGUGUGCUAUGCAAGGUUAUGCUCCAGCUUUCCAUUCUGAUCCUAGUUGCAGGGGAAUGUGGACUUGUGUAGUGUUUAUGUUGGCUUGUAUCUCAUGUCUUCUAUUGGCUUUGAUAUGCAUCUCUUGUUUCCUGUACUCAGACUUAUGUAGUAGGUCUGCACUGUACCUUAAAUCUUGGUUCUGCAUCAUCUUCCUACAAUAAAUGUGUUGAUCUAUGCUUGGUGUUCAUGCAAUUGAUUCAGGAUGCUCAUGAUGAUGGUUAAAUGGUCAAAUGUAGCUUGAGGAAGAUGGAAUUGUAAGUUUGCAGCAUAUGUGCACAUGGCCUUUGGUAAGAUGUCAAGAAUAUGAGGUUGUGCUCUUGUUAUCCUUAUACUCAUUGCCUUUAUUGCUGUUAUAUUUUGUGGGAUGGAUGAGGUCUUGUCUUAAAUUGUUGUUUGUUAGGUAUUGAAUUAUGGUAUGCAUUGCCAGUUUAAAUUGCAAGUCUUGUAUUGGCAUGAUAUCUAUAGAUGAUGAUAUGGUUAGAUGGUCCAAUGCAGGUAUGUAGUCAUUGCCAGUCUGCAACAUGAUUGCAACUUCAUGUUCAUGGUCAUUACAGGUUGAAUUUGCUACAAGUUUGCAAGGUUCAAAGCAUGCUUCCAAUGUUCAAUUGAUAUUCAGCUUGGUGCAGCCAUUGGAUUUGCCUUGGUCUAUGUUGGUUCUGCAUGAUAUCAUGUAUGGCAUGUCCUGCACCGUAACAUUGUCCUUAUUUGUUCAUGGUUUGUCUUCUGGUUGAUUGCUUUUGAACUGACUUGGCAUUCCAGGAUUUGUGGCAUGUGUGGACUUGGUUUCAUGUGACUUUGCAGGUUAAUAUUGUGUUGCUGGUACUUCUAAAUGUCAAAAUUUGGAUGGUCAUCGUGCAUAAGGUGAUUACUUCAAGACCAAGGAUCACAGUUGAAGAUUAGGAGGAGGAUUAUAAUUGAUAUUGAAAUUUUUAGGGUUUUAGGGCUUGGGUUGACUUUGGUCAAACUUCCAUUUUUUUGUAAUUUUCUUAAUGUUUGGGCAUUUGUAAUGGAUUAUGAUGAUGAUAUUGAAUUAAUGACUUGUAUGAUUUUGAUUGAAUUGAAUUUGAAAUGAAUGAACUUGAUGAUUAUGACCAUGCCUUGAAUUGAAAUGUAUGAUAAUUUUGAAUAUACACAUUGAAUAUCAUACAAACUUGAAUUUUGAAAUGAAUGGAUUUGAUAUGAGCUAAAUGAUGAAUUAAUGCACUGAUGAACUUGAUGAAUCAAAGAUAUGACUUACAACUUGGAUAACAUCAAGACUUGAAAUGGAUUGACGCUUGAAUGAAUCAUUAACAUGACUUAAAGGACAUAACCAUAAUUUGAAUGACCAGUGACAAGCAUGAAACAAAGAUCUUGGCAAGGACCAAU